rnacentral:rRNA from 1 species
GAUGAACGCUGGCGGCGUGCCUAAUACAUGCAAGUCGAGCGAACAGACGAGGAGCUUGCUCCUUCGACGUUAGCGGCGGACGGGUGAGUAACACGUAGGUAACCUACCUAUAAGACUGGGAUAACUUCGGGAAACCGGAGCUAAUACCGGAUAAUAUUUUGAACCGCAUGGUUCGAUAGUGAAAGAUGGUUUUGCUAUCACUUAUAGAUGGAUCUGCGCCGUAUUAGCUAGUUGGUAAGGUAACGGCUUACCAAGGCAACGAUACGUAGCCGACCUGAGAGGGUGAUCGGCCACACUGGAACUGAGACACGGUCCAGACUCCUACGGGAGGCAGCAGUAGGGAAUCUUCCGCAAUGGGCGAAAGCCUGACGGAGCAACGCCGCGUGAGUGAUGAAGGUCUUCGGAUCGUAAAACUCUGUUAUUAGGGAAGAACAAACGUGUAAGUAACUGUGCACAUCUUGACGGUACCUAAUCAGAAAGCCACGGCUAACUACGUG